GGAAUUCGAUUCAGGCCUAACACAUGCAAGUAGAACGGUAACGCGGGGCAACCUGGCGACGAGAAAAGAACGGGUGAGUAAUGCAUCGGAACGUACCCAGUAGUGGGGGAUAGCCCGGCGAAAGCCGGAUUAAUACCGCAUACGACCUACGGGUGAAAGGGGGGGAUCGUAAGACCUCUCGCUAUUGGAGCGGCCGAUGUCAGAUUAGGUAGUUGGUGGGGUAAAGGCCUACCAAGCCUGCGAUCUGUAGCUGGUCUGAGAGGAAAACCAGCCACACUGGGUCUGGGGGACGGCCCAGACUCCUACGGGAGGCAGCAGUGGGGAAUUUUGGACAAUGGGCGCAAGCCUGAU
rnacentral:rRNA from 1 species